UAUCUGUUACUGUUGAUACUGCAGCUUGUUUGGGAUUGUUGGAGGUACUGACAAGAGCCUGGAGGCCCUCUCUAGCUUCUGUUCAAAUACAAUUACAACCCUUGAUGUCAAUGAUUGCAUUGGCAUAAAGAGACGAACCCGUGAUGAACUUCUUCAGCUGUUCCCAAAUCUGAAGUGCUUUAAAGUACAUAGUUAAGUUGCGGUUUGUGAAAGAUAGUGAUUUCUUCGUUAAAAGACAGGGAGGGGAUGAAGAGCAUUAGCUGUAUCCAAUCUGACCAACAAUCAUUUACCAUCGUCGAUCGGCUGUUUGGAUUUUAUUAAUUGCAGAAGUUUCACAGCUUCAAUAGUAGAGAUAUUCCCAAAUAUCUGGUAUGUUAAUUUCUGAUGGUGAACUAUCAUAUCUCCACAGUAUUUUUUUGUAUCCCUAAUAAAAAAACAUUUGUUUCAUAAAUUGUCCUGGAUAAGAUGCAUUUGAGAAGAAACAAUUUAGCUUCACAAAAAUCUUAUCACUGCAAGAAUGGUGGAGGUAUCUUGAAGUUGGUGAAUUAUAUUGUGGAGGAUGAUUGCAGUAAGUUGUGCAGAUGCAAUGACUUCCUCUUCAUUUUCA